rnacentral:SRP_RNA from 1 species
UCACAUCUAGCACCCAGCACACGCUUGCGGUGCAGGAAGAGCUGCGUCGGGAGGCUGUGGCCGCUGCGCUGCGAGAGCUUGACCAAGCGGAGGUUUCGGCAGUGCGGCAGAUCUUGGACAUGCUUCAGGAUUCCCAGCUGCCAGAUGACGCGGUGCCGGGGGUGCUGAUGCAGCAAUCCUCCGACGCGGAUGCGGGUGU